UACGUAGGGUGCGAGCGUUGUCCGGAAUUACUGGGCGUAAAGGGCGUGUAGGCGGCCAUGUAUGUCAGGUGUGAAAUGCCACGGCUCAACCGGGGCACUGCACAUGAAACUGGAUGGCUUGAGUGCAGGAGAGGGAAGUGGAAUUCCUAGUGUAGCGGUGAAAUGCGUAGAUAUUAGGAGGAACACCAGUAGCGAAGGCGGCUCUCUGGACUGUAACUGACGCUGAGGCACGAAAGCGUGGGGAGCAAACAGGA
rnacentral:rRNA from 1 species